GAGUCUUUGUUUGUAGUAACAGUUUUCAUCUUAAAACAAAUGUUUCUUUCUUUAAUUGACGUACUGGUUGAUUGCUUUGUUUUAAUAGAGCCAACAUCACCUGUGGCGUUGACAUGUAAGUAUUCAUAGGUUAAAUAACACAAAGUUUUAUUAAAAAAAAAAAACUUCUUGGAAUAUUGGGCUUGGUGUAUACAGACUUUGCUAAAUGUUGGCGGUUUAUUAUCUUGUUCUUCCCUUGUUCCCUUUUUCUAUUUGCGUGCUCAGAGAAAGGCACCCCACUACUAUUUAUUCACCUCUUAGCCGUGCUGCUUUUGUACCCCAUCGCAGUUACAUCAAGUGGCUCCGGCACCAGACCACCAAAGCCAAGACUAGGAUACAUGUGCUCUAGCUUUAUGUGUGGCAGACAGACCUGGUGAGGGCAGCAACCUUCUCCUCCUCCUCUCUUCCAAGAAUCACCACCUCCACUAAGACUACCAUUACUGCCCCCACCGCCUCUCUCUCUGCACCAGCCUCCGUCAUCGAGAUUCCUGACGAAGUGCUGCUGUCAGCCACCAUGGAGUUGAAGGCCAGUAAGUAACAGCCACUUAUAGAAAGUGAUGGUGGCUUCUUGACUUUUUUUGUUUAAUCUGACAUUUGUUUGAAUUUCCAAACAACCUAAGCAUGCAGUGAUGGAUUUCUCAAAGCAGCAAGACUUCCGGUGCACUUAGUGCUUUGGCACAAUUAAUGAUCUUUACUGGGUACCCUUCUUAAUUAAUAUGUGUUUGUCUGGGAGUGGUGUGUGUGUGUGUAGCUUUGCUUUUUGUAGGACUUACGAUGACCUUGGGUUUGUCUCUUUACCUCCUCCGGCCUCUGCCUCCCAGUCUGCAACCAGUGGAAGGCCUGCGCCAUCCCAGUGCUCCCAAGAGACUGCUGAUCAAGCAAAGCACCCUACGCAAACACUGUGCAGUGAGGAGUGAGCUGCUUUUUCCCAAGGGCUGGAGGACCCCUCUGCCAAAAGAACAGCAGGUGUGGAUUAGCCGGGUCCUUUUCACCCCAGGAUAGGACAGAAAGCCUGUGCUGACCCCUAAACAUUGCCUCUGGUGGCAUCCUCCUGGCCCCCACAACUUGCACCUCCAGCCCAUGGCAUCGCCCGACACCUUCUUUCAGCACCCAUUCUUCCUGUGGAUGUCCUGCCACAUAUGGGCCUACAAGCUCUCCUGCCCUGUGUAUAGCCACUGGUUGUCAGGAGCAAGCCUCUACAGGACUGUCCAGAGGGUCCUGGACACAGAUUGAUGGUACUUCAUUGCCACAGAGUACCUGGAAUGCCGGCGCUACAGGAAGAAGGUGGCAGGCUGGUCACAGGAUGUCCUGGAUCACCUAGACCUCGCCCACCAGGACGAGUUUCAAGCCGUCCUGACUUAAAUGUCAAACAGGGGGUCUCUGAUGGCUGGGGCAACUCUCCACAGGUAAUCAGGAAGACACACGGGCUGUCCUGACGUCUCUGUCCUCUCUGACUUAGGUUAUCCUGUGACAAGAAGCUCAUCAGGCAGAUGCGCGAGUGCACUCUGGGCAACGGGGCCAACCCGGCUGCUCAGAUAUCUGCUUGAGGAGCACACCAGGUCCUGGAUGUCACGGUCCACAAAGUACAUGUCAGCGUGUGCCAAGUUCCUGGCAUUGGGUGCCCAGCUAUCUACAACUCCCACUCCACCACCACUGAUGACUCUGGUGCCAGGCGUGAAGUGGCUGCCAUCUAUGCCAAGGAAGUGGCUUCACGACUAGAAGAGACCAAGGCCAAGAUUACCUCCAUCUUUAGCUCAAUCUUGAAGAUGGACUCAACUAAGAAGGUGACUAAGAAACUCACCAGUGCUGCCACCGGCAUGGCAGCCUAGGUGACAAACGUGGGGAAUGAGCAUGGCCAGAUCCUGAUCAGCGUCCUCACUGCCACCGAGAGCACUGGUCUGCACCCCAUGGCCACAGGACUGAUGCAGAGGUACCGGGAUGCUGGUGUGUCCCCACCUCUGAUGCCUCUCGGGGGCCCAUGCAAGGUGUCCCUCUUGUCCCACCAGUAGGAUCAACUAGUGGUGUAGUAUGACGUGUGGCACCUGAUGUGACAC